rnacentral:rRNA from 1 species
UACGUAGGUGACUAGCGUUGUUCGGAUUUAUUGGGCGUAAAGGGUCCGCAGGGGGCCGGCUAAGUCUGAUGUGAAAUACCAAGGCUCAACCUUGGAACUGCAUUGGAAACUGGUUGGCUAGAGUAUCGGAGAGGAGAUUGGAAUUCCUGGUGUAGCGGUGGAAUGCGUAGAUAUCAGGAGGAACACCAAAGGCGAAGGCAGAUCUCUGGACGAUUACUGACCCUCAGGGACGAAAGUAUGGGGAUCAAACAGGAUUAGAUACCCUGGUAGUCCAUACUGUAAACGUUGUGAACUUGACGUGGGAGGAUUUAGUCCCUUCCGUGUCGUAGCUAACGCGAUAAGUUCACCGCCUGGGGACUACGGCCGCAAGGCUAAA